rnacentral:rRNA from 1 species
CCUACGGGAGGCAGCAGUGAGGAAUAUUGGGCAAUGGACGAGAGUCUGAACGAGCCAAGUAGCGUGAAGGAUGACGGCCCUAGGGUUUGUAAACUUCUUUUAUAUGGGAAUAAAAUGUUCCACGUGUGGGAUUUUGUAUGGACCAUAUGAAUAAGGAUAGGCUAAAUCCGUGCCAGCAGCCGCGGUAAUACGGUGGAUCCGAGCGUUAUCCGGAUUGAUUGGGUUGAAAGUGAGCGUAGGUGGAUUGUUAAGUCAGUUGUGAAAGUUUGCGGCUCAACCGUAAAAUUGCAGUUGAAACUGGGAGUCUUGAGUACAGUAGAGGUGGGCGGAAUUCGUGGUGUAGCGGUGAAAUGCUUAGAUAUCACGAAGAACUCCGAUGGCGAAGGCAGUUCACUGGACUGCAACUGACGCUGAGGCUCGAAAGUGUGGGGAUCAAACAGGAUUAGAUACCCUUGUAGUC